AGUGAACGCUGGCGGUAGGCCUAACACAUGCAAGUCGAACGGCAGCACAGGAGAGCUUGCUCUCUGGGUGGCGAGUGGCGGACGGGUGAGGAAUACAUCGGAAUCUACUCUGUCGUGGGGGAUAACGUAGGGAAACUUACGCUAAUACCGCAUACGACCUACGGGUGAAAGCAGGGGAUCCUCGGACCUUGCGCGAUUGAAUGAGCCGAUGUCGGAUUAGCUAGUUGGCGGGGUAAAGGCCCACCAAGGCGACGAUCCGUAGCUGGUCUGAGAGGAUGAUAAGACACAGUGGAACUGAGACACGGUCCAGACUCGUACGGGAGGCAGCAGUGGGGACUAUUGGACGAUGGGCGCAAGCCUGAUCCAGCCAUACCGCGUGGGUGAAGAAGGCCUUCGGGUUGUAAAGCCCUUUUGUUGGGAAAGAAAUCCAGCUGGCUAAUACCCGGUUGGGAUGACGGUACCCAAAGAAUAAGCACCGGCUAACUUCGUGCCAGCCGCCGCCGUAA
rnacentral:rRNA from 1 species